rnacentral:misc_RNA from 1 species
GAUGAAGAACGUAGCGAAAUGCGAUAAGUAGUGUGAAUUGCAGAAUUCAGUGAAUCAUCGAAUCUUUGAACGCACCUUGCGCUCCUUGGUAUUCCGAGGAGCAUGCCUGUUUGAGUGUCAUUAAUAUAUCAACCUUCUCUUUUUUGAGUUGUUUGGAUGUGGGGGUUUGCUGGCCUCUUAAAUGAUUCAGCUCCCCUGAAAUGCAUUAGCAGAACAACCUGUUCAUUAGCGUGAUAAUUAUCUAUGCUAUUGAAUGUGAGGGCAGUUCAGCUUUCUAACCGUCCUUGGACAAUUCAUCAUUAAUGUGACCUCAAAUCAGGUAGGACUACCCGCUGAACUUAAGCAUAUCAAUAAGCGGAGGA